GACGAACGCUGGCGGCGUGCUUAACACAUGCGAGUCGAACGGAAAGGCCCAGCUUGCUGGGUACUCGAGUGGCGAACGGGUGAGUAACACGUGGGUGAUCUGCCCCUGACUUUGGGAUAAGCCUGGGAAACUGGGUCUAAUACCGGAUAUGACCUUACAUCGCAUGGUGUUUGGUGGAAAGCUUUUGCGGUUGGGGAUGGGCCCGCGGCCUAUCAGCUUGUUGGUGGGGUAAUGGCCUACCAAGGCGACGACGGGUAGCCGACCUGAGAGGGUGAUCGGCCACACUGGGACUGAGACACGGCCCAGACUCCUACGGGAGGCAGCAGUGGGGAAUAUUGCACAAUGGGCGCAAGCCUGAUGCAGCGACGCCGCGUGAGGGAUGACGGCCUUCGGGUUGUAAACCUCUUUCACCAGGGACGAAGCGUGAGUGACGGUACCUGGAGAAGAAGCACCGGCCAACUACGUG
rnacentral:rRNA from 1 species